rnacentral:rRNA from 1 species
ACGGAAGGCAGCAGUGGGGAAUAUUGCACAAUGGGGGAAGCCCUGAUGCAGCGACGCCGCGUGAGUGAAGAAGUAUUUCGGUAUGUAAAGCUCUAUCAGCAGGGAAGAAAAUGACGGUACCUGACUAAGAAGCCCCGGCUAACUACGUGCCAGCAGCCGCGGUAAUACGUAGGGGGCAAGCGUUAUCCGGAUUUACUGGGUGUAAAGGGAGCAUAGACGGUAAUGCAAGUCUGGAGUGAAAACCCGGGGCUCAGCCCCGGGACUGCUUUGGAAACUGUAUAACUGGAGUGCCGGAGAGGUAAGCGGAAUUCCUAGUGUAGCGGUGAAAUGCGUAGAUAUUAGGAGGAACACCAGUGGCGAAGGCGGCUUACUGGACGGUAACUGACGCUGAGGCUCGAAAGCGUGGGGAGCAAACAGGAUUAGAUACCCUGGUA